UCCGCCCACCCCGCGCCGGGAACCCACGCGGGCCACUACAAGCCCUCCCUUUCCUACGUCUGGUCCAGUCGGUCUUCCUCCGGCCCGGGCCCUGGCCCAGCUAGCCGGCCAUGGAGGGUAAUGGCCCCGCUGCUGUCCACUACCAGCCGGCCAGCCCCCCGCGGGACUCCUGCGUCUACAGCAGCUGCUACUGUGAAGAAAAUAUUUGGAAGCUCUGUGAAUACAUCAAAAACCAUGACCAGUAUCCUUUAGAAGAAUGUUAUGCUGUCUUCAUAUCUAAUGAGAGGAAGAUGAUACCUAUCUGGAAACAACAGGCGAGACCUGGAGAUGGACCUGUGAUCUGGGAUUACCAUGUUGUUUUGCUUCAUGUUUCAAGUGGAGGACAGAGCUUUAUUUAUGAUCUCGAUACUGUCUUGCCAUUUCCCUGCCUCUUUGACACUUACGUAGAAGAUGCCUUUAAGUCUGAUGAUGACAUUCACCCACAGUUUAGGAGGAAAUUUAGAGUGAUCCGUGCAGAUUCAUAUUUGAAGAACUUUGCUUCUGACCGAUCUCACAUGAAAGACUCCAGUGGGAAUUGGAGAGAGCCUCCGCCGCCAUAUCCCUGCAUUGAGACUGGAGAUUCCAAAAUGAACCUGAACGAUUUCAUCAGUAUGGAUCCCAAGGUAGGAUGGGGCGCUGUCUACACACUAUCCGAAUUUACACAUUGGUUUGGCAGUAAAAACUGUUGAACUUGGCCUCAAGAUGUGGAACUGUGGAGAAAUUCUAGGACAUGAACAAGCUAUCCUUUCAUCGAGGACAGCAAACAUUAUGAUGAAAUGGUGAUGACUGGAGUGACCUCGGAAGCUACUUAUCAAAGGCAGAAGAGCCACCAUCAGCCUGGAUUCCUGAUAACUGUGGAGCCGAGUUGCAUGCCUGCCUAAAUAGUAUAUUGUGGAACUCUUUCAUAGGAGACAAACUUAUGUAUUUUUUAAGUCACAGAAUUCUUGAUGAAGAAAUGGGAGUGGGCAACUUGCCCAAAGUAGCACAGUUAAUAUGUAAAGGAAUGUGAUUUGAACCUGGGCCUGACUCCAGAAUCACUACACCAUGAAGUGGAGAUUCAGUAACAUUGGAAUAAAUCCAAAGGCAAAAUGAGGGCAUUGCUUCUUGUGCUGGUCUUGGGUCUAAGGAGGGGCAUAUUGCAGAGGUGAGAGCCAAGGGGAAAAGAUGGAGUGGGCUGUCUGUGGCACACGGGAUGUCUUUACUACUGGACAGCCUUGAACCACAAGAUGUGAUGUAGGGCUGAAUCUUGUAGGAAAAAAGCGGUCAGGGUAAGCUCUUCAACAUCGGAUGUGAGAAGACCAGCGUUUUGCAGUGUCCUUUGGCUGUGGUGGGCAGGUUUGGGCUGGCAAAAGGGUCAGUGGAGACCAGCUGGGGGAGACCUGCAUGCAGUGGCAGGGGGUUGGGAGUGAAAUGAGGGAAGGAUGGACUUGGUAGGUUUGGUUUGACGACGUAGUGGAGUUUGUAUUGGCUGAAGGUUACAAAGGAAGCAAGGAGAGAAUAAUAACAUGCGCCAGCAUCCAGAGAUGAGUUGAGGAGGCGUGCCGUCUGACUUCUACAUUCAGGCACAUUUCACACUUCUGUCAGGUACUCUGCUCUGAGCUUUUGGAAUCUUUCUUUCGUGUAUUCCUCCAUACAGUGUUUGCAGGUGGUGUAUGGAUGCUGUCAAUCCCCGCUUUCCAUAGGCAGCACCCUCCUUACUAUUCCCUGCCUAAGUGACCUAACACACUUGGUCCUGGCUUGGGCAGGCGGGAAGCGUGGAGUUAAUACAUCCUGGAGCAGCCUUCAGCCCUGAUGGGUGGGAGUAGGUGGAUAAGUGGCUUAGCUUUCUUGCUCCUUGGAGGGUACAACUCUGGGCUAGACGCUGCACCAUCUCCCAGGGUCCCCAGCAGCCUUGGUCCCCAGCUGCCCACAACAGCCUAUCCUCUUGGCACCUGCUCAGUGACCUGGCUGGCUUCCUUGUUCCUUGACUCACGUCCCCACUCCCUACUGGUGUUUCCUAGGACCACCUAUCAAAUAAACAACUUCUACCUAAUUUCCUGUCUCAAGGCAUGCAUUGGGGAAACUCAACCCAAUGCAGUUUCCAGAUGAUAAUAUCUACACCCCGAGAGGUUACUUCACUUGCUCAAGCUCACGUAUCCAGUAUGUAACAAAUCUAGGACUUUAGCCCAGCUUUCCUUAGCCCCAGCCUGGUGUUGUCUUCUGCUCUACCAUGCUUAGUAUCUGCUAUAAUGACACCCUAGGUCCUUUUACAUGUUGGGCUUUCCUGCAGGAGUCUGGCCUAUUAGACCAUAAACUCAUAAAAAGCAGAACUAUGACCUUGAUAACUUUGUAUAUUCAAGAACAGCAGGAACUGUGUCUUUCACCGAGUAGAUGCUUAAUAAGGAUUUAUUGAAAGGAAAGGAGAUAGAGCAAGAGGAAGUAUGUGAGGGGAAGAGGAGAUAGUUGGGAGCAUGAAAUUGGGGCAGAGGAGAGAGACUCUUGUGCUCCUUCUUGACAUGGGGCACAAGAGUGACUUGCUUUGGAGGAGGCUAUGGCUAGAGUGUCACAGGCAAAAGCCCAGGAGGCCCACGGGUGAGCAGAAAAUUACAGAACUUAAAAAAUCAUUUUUCUUGGAAAUAAUAUGUGAGACAGGGAAAUCUAGUGAAAAAAUAUUUUUCAGUGCAUGUAUCCCUAAAAGGGAGGUUUUCUUUUUAAAAUUUUUUUUUAAGACAGUCUCGCUGUGUCACCCAGGCUGGAGUGCAGUGGCGUGAUCUCAGCUCACUACAACCUCCUCCUCCCAGGUUCAAGCGAUUCUCAUGCCUUAGCCUCCCGAGUAGCUGGGACUACAGGUGCAUGCCACCACGCCUGGCUAAUUUUUUUGUAUUUUUAGUAUAGAAAGGGUUUCAUCAUGCUCUCCAGGUUGGUCUUGAACUCCUGACCUCUUGAGAUCUGCCUGCCUCAGCUUCCCAAAGUGUUGGGAUUACAGGCAUGAGCCACCGUGCUGGGCCUGUGUUUUGUUUUUAAUAUGAGAUUAGUUAUUAUAACUUUGUAGAAAGAACAUUGGAUGGAUUUUCUGAGCAGAGUUAAGUCUACAGCUCAGAUACUCUAGGGCAGUAGUUUUUGAACUACACAAGGCACUAGGACUUCUAAGGCACUCUCUUAGAAGCCUCCUCAAAAAGAAGGAGAUGAUAAUAAUUGAUUACUACUUAUUGAAUUCUAAUUAGACCAUGUGCCAAGCCCCAUGCUAAGUCUUGGUCUGCGUUAUCUCAUUUAAUCCUCUUUGAUAUGAGUCCUGUUAUCAUUCCCACUUCACAGAUUACGAAGCGGACACUCAAAGAGGUCCCCCAGCUAGUAAGUGGCCAAAGUGGGAUUCAUUUGACUGUUUGACUCCAGAGCUCAUGCAUUCAUGGGCAUGGCUACAGGUACCCUUCUCUUCACUCCUUCCCCAAGCAUGCCCCCAAUUCACCAGAAUUGAAACUCAAGAUUUUGACACCAUAGAGAGCAAACUGGGGAACAGGAACUACACUGUUGGUUAGGACUUGGGAGAAGAUAAAUUAAAAAGUCUGACACUUUGAUCACGUUCUGUAAAAGUCUUGGGGCUUUGCUUUCCCACUGUGAAGGGCAUUUUGAAAUACAUCUUAAUGAAUGCAUUCUGCUCUCUUGGUACACCAGGGGGAGCAUUUAGUACAGGAAUGGGAAUAAGGUGGCUCCAGGAAGUGACUAUUCCUGCUCUUUGUAGGGAAGGACACUUUUUCUUUCUCUCUUUCUCACUCACUGAAAAACACAUUUUUCUUUUUGAACAGUUUGAAAGCAAGUUGCAGAUAUCAUGAGACUUCACCUAUAAAUACUUCAGAAGGAUUUCCUAAGAAAGACAUUCUUCUCCUUUAUGAUGAUAUUAUUAUCACGUCCAAGAAACUUAACAUUGAUGCAACAAUGAUGUCUAAUAUGUGGUCUGUAUUCAAACUUCUCCAGAUAUCCCCAAGAUGUUCUUUAUUGCUUUUUUUGGUUUCAAUCCAAAAUAAAUUUUGUAUUCUCAAUAUUAGAUCACAGUUAUUCUUCUGGAAUAUUUUGCUGUGAAAUGCUUAUACUUUUUACUGUCUAUUGAAUAACUCAUAAAGUUGAUUUGCCAUGCUUUAUUAAGUUUCUCUUUGAUUGCUAUUGUUUAUUCCUAUUAUAAGUAUACCAUGAUGUUAAGUGGGACUUCCCAUUUCUCAGUUUUGACUCAGGCACCAAUUAAAUAGAUAUCAGAAUCCAAAGUGAGUGUGAGAUUGACGUGGUGUACAGAAUUCAUCAAGUGUCACAGGUUAGGCUCCUUGUAAAAGGCUCUUGAUGGACAUUUGUAUGGAGGCAGUUUAUUGGGGGAGUGUUUGGGGCUCAGCAGCUAAGGGGGAAGAAAGGAAGCAGGAUGAGACACAGGGAGGUGUUGGACUGUGAUGCAAUCCCUACUCAGCCAAUCCCCAGGGACCUCUAGAGCUGGGAUGGUGAUAUUUGGUUGUGUCCCCACCCAAAUCUCAUCUUGAAUUGUAGCUGCCAUAAUUCCUACUUGUCGUGGGAGGGACCUGGUGGGAGGUAAUUGAAUCAUGGGGGCAUGUCUUUCCUGUGCUGUUCUCAUGAUAGUGAAUACAUCUCACGAGAUCUGAUGGUUUUAUAAAGGGGAUUCCCCCGCACAUGCUGUCUUGCCUGCCGCCAUGUUAAGACGUGACUGUGCUUUUCCUUCACCUUCCACCAUGAUUGUGAGGCCUCCCUAGCCAUGUGGAACUGUGAAUCCAUUAAACCUCUUUCCUUUAUAAAUU